UACGAAGGGGGCUAGCGUUGUUCGGAAUUACUGGGCGUAAAGCGUGCGCAGGCGGCUUCUCAAGUCAGGGGUGAAAGCCCAGAGCUCAACUCUGGAAUUGCCUUUGAGACUGAGUGGCUUGAGUACGGGAGAGGUGAGUGGAAUUCCCAGUGUAGAGGUGAAAUGCGUAGAUAUCAGGAGGAACACCUGUGGUGUAGACAGCUUACUGGACCAUAACUGACGCUGAGGCACGAAAGCGUGGGUAGCAAACAGG
rnacentral:rRNA from 1 species